ACUUCCUGAAUGGACUACAAUAAAUUCUCGUGUGUUUGCUAACAGGAAACUGUAUAACGAAUACUUCUACAAAGCAGAGGGGGACAAUAUGUUUAGAGGUGUAUUAUUUCUUUAAAAUGCAUCUCGGAGGCGCCCAGGCCACUGCUUAGUAGUCGCCCGGAUGGAGACUAGAGAGAAUCCUCCUUAGAGUACCACACGGGAGGGUUCACACGGGUCAUUCACACGGAGGAGGGGAGAGUGACCCGCCAUUGACCAAGGCGAUAAGCAGAGCUGGGGGAGGACAUUGCUGUGAUAAGACUCGUCAUAGCCCAUCGAUAUCACUGGCACUUGAUAAGACUUCGCAUGGGUAUCGCGGAAGCUAAGCAUUGGGUUGUUUGUCGCUGGAAAAAACCUUGAAUUUAAACCCUAUGCUUGUUUUUCGUCGAAAAGUUUCUCCUUUAGGUUAAUCUUGAAAUGUGUUGUCUUUCUGGGAAUAUUCGUAUUUCUAGGAUCACUAUUACAAUAAAACAGUUGAUUUA